rnacentral:rRNA from 1 species
AUGAAGCUUGACAGGGAGAUGGAGAUGCUCCUCAACGAGAUCCCUCUCCUCCUCCACGGCGACGUCCUCGGCUGCGGCGAGCCAGCCGCCGCGGAGACCGACACCGAUGCCGUCGAUUUCUCUUACCUCAUCCAAGAACUCGGCGAGAUGGGGUUCGUCGAGGACGACGACGAUGACGACGACAACGCUUUCCUUCACCCCAGGAAGGCCAGCUCAUCCCCGACGAGCAACCUCCAUUUCAUGGACGCCGAGAAUUUCGUGGCGUCGCGUCCCUUCUCCAUGGACAAAGACCGCGAGAGGGCUCUGUUCGAUCCGUUCCCCUUCUCCAGCACCUGCUUCGACGCCGCCGUGGGCGACGACUGGGACCUCCUGUGUCCGCCGGCGAGGUCCCGGCUGUGCAAGACGGCGAGGCCGAAGAAGGGUACCUGCAGCCAUGGCAACGGCUGCCAGGCGACGAGCCCCAAGAAGUGCGCGGCGGCGAAGCCGUCCAAGUACGAGAGCCUUGUCGGGCUGCGCGGGUACAUGUACCACGUGGCCAGGGACCAGCACGGCUGCCGGUUUCUCCAGCAGCGGCUCGACGACGGCAAGCGCGAGGUCGAUUUCAUCUUCACCGGCGUCGCCCGUCACGCCGUCGACCUGAUGGUGAACCCAUUCGGGAACUACCUCAUGCAGAAGCUGCUAGCCGUCUGCAGCGAGGAGCAGAGGAUGGGCAUCGUGCUCACCCUCACAAAGGACCCCUUCGUGCUCGUCAGGAUCUCUCUCAAUGUACAUGGGACAAGGGCCGUACAGAAACUGAUUGAAAGCUUGAGGGCAAGGGAGGAGAUCCAGCUGGUCGUCGCAGCUCUGCGCCCCGGGUUCCUGGAGCUCAUAAAGGAUCCUAAUGGUAACCAUGUCGUGCAGAAGUGCUUGCAAUCGUUCGGGGCCGAUGAUAACAAGCCCAUCUUCGAUGCUGCUGCUGUUUAUUGCCUUGAUAUCGGGAUGCAAUGCCAUGGCUGCUGCGUCCUGCAGCGGUGUAUUGCGCGUUCGACGGGUGAGCACAAGGAGAAGCUGGUUGCCGCAAUCGCUCGCAAUGGGUUCGAACUUGCACAAGAUGCCUAUGGAAACUAUGUUGUUCAGUAUGUGAUAGAACUAAAGGUCGCUACUGCAAAUGCAAGUCUGGCACAGCAGUUUGAAGGCAAGUACAUCCACCUCUCCAUGCAGAAGUUCAGCAGCAACGUUGUCGAGAAAUGCCUGAAAGUUUUCAAGGAAGCCGACAAAGCCAACAUCAUCCUGGAGCUCCUUUCUGCGCCGCAGUUCGAGCGGUUGCUUCUGCACCCUUACGCAAACUAUGUGGUCUACGCAGCACUUCAGAAUUCCAAGGGGUCUCUCCACUCAGCACUGACCAACGCCAUCCGGCCUCAUGUGGAACUACUCAGAACCAGCCCAUACUGCAAGAGGAUCUACUCUCGAGCUUUGCUGAAGAAGUGA